rnacentral:rRNA from 1 species
AUUGAACGCUGGCGGCAUGCCUUACACAUGCAAGUCGAACGGCAGCACGGGAGCAAUCCUGGUGGCGAGUGGCGAACGGGUGAGUAAUAUAUCGGAACGUGCCCAGUCGUGGGGAUAACGUAGCGAAAGCUACGCUAAUACCGCAUACGAUCUAUGGAUGAAAGCGGGGGAUCGCAAGACCUCGCGCGAUUGGAGCGGCCGAUAUCAGAUUAGGUAGUUGGUGAGGUAAAGGCUCACCAAGCCGGCGAUCUGUAGCUGGUCUGAGAGGACGACCAGCCACACUGGGACUGAGACACGGCCCAGACUCCUACGGAGGCAGCAGUGGGGAAUUUUUGGACAAUGGGCGCAAGCCUGAUCCAGCAAUGCCGCGUGCAGGAUGAAGGCC